GCAGUGGUAGUUCAGUGGUAGAAUUCUCACCUUUCACUUGAGAGACCUGGGUUUGAUUCCUGUCCAGUGCA
rnacentral:tRNA from 1 species